rnacentral:rRNA from 1 species
UGGGGAAUAUUGCACAAUGGGGGAAACCCUGAUGCAGCGACGCCGCGUGAACGAAGAAGGUAUUCGUAUCGUAAAGUUCUGUCCUAUGGGAAGAUAAUGACAGUACCAUAGAAGAAAGCUCCGGCUAAAUACGUGCCAGCAGCCGCGGUAAUACGUAUGGAGCGAGCGUUGUCCGGAAUUAUUGGGCGUAAAGGGUACGCAGGCGGUGUAAUAAGUCGAAUGUUAAAGAUCGGGGCUCAACCCCGUAAAGCAUUGGAAACUGAUAAACUUGAGUAGUGGAGAGGAAAGUGGAAUUCCUAGUGUAGUGGUGAAAUACGUAGAUAUUAGGAGGAAUACCAGUAGCGAAGGCGACUUUCUGGACACAAACUGACGCUGAGGUACGAAAGCGUGGGGAGCAAACAGG